UUUCAGAACUUCAUUUCGUUUAACUUACAUAACCUCUAAAAUCUCCCCAAGUCUUAGACCCUAAAACGACGCCAUUUUUAUUAACGUUAAUUAGAGAGGCAAGCCCUUUUUAUUUUUACUUAUUCGGAGAAGAAGUAUAGCCCUCAGUGGGCAGUCCAGCUCCAAACCUCUAUAUAAAUUGCACCAUCUUUCCAGAAAAAAAAGAAGAACAAGGAGGAGCUGGGUAGCUAGGAACAACUAAGAUAUAUGGAUGUGCAUGAUCAGCAGCAGCUCAAGAAGCCAAGGGUUGUCAGAGUGAACUCUGAGGAAUUAUGGGAUUUCUUUAUCACUCAAGCUGCCGAUCAAGGCUGCCCUGUGAUGGUGCAUUUUAAUGCUGCCUGGUGCAUGCCCUCUGUAGCCAUGAAUUCAUUCUUUGAGGAAUUGGCCUUCAACUACCACGAUAGAGUUAAAUGCCAAAUUACCCCCCAAACUUGUAUCA